GAGAUUAUUAUACAAGGCACUCAACUUCUCUAGGGACAAUACCGAAAUUUGUGAUGACAUAAACAUGGAAGAAUUCGACAGAGUUGAUGUAUGUGACCUUAUAUCAGGCUGAAUUAAAAGUAAGCAACGUUUUGAAACAUGAAAUUCAUCACAAUAUAUUUCAACAAUGCGGAAAUUUUAUUUAUCAAAGACGUCAAACAUAGAGGGACGGUACAAAUGAGGGAGGAGACCAUGAUCACCACCACAACGACAAUGAUGCCACAUUUCCUAUAUGAGUAUGUUCGCGCAUUCGUUACCUACGUUUGGCCGAUGACUGACAAGUAUAUGUUUGACGAUGUAUGUGUCUGUCAGUAUACAUACAGUUUUGUGACGACCGACACGCACAAGGACAGAGAUAGGCUUCAGGUGUGCGUUAAUGUAUGUGUGUGUGUGUGUCUUAGUUUAUGUUUGUAACUUUCUCCCGCCCAACAGUGAAACGCGGCGAUAUUGUAAGUUUAGUUGCGGCUUGGACUUUGAAGUACUAUCAACAUGAAGAUUUGGCUGAUUUAACACUUCUCACAAUACUCGCAAAUAUACCUGGAAAAAAAAUGUUAUUCUAGUUAUUAUAACAAAUUCGGAAACUUGGUGAAGUAGAAAGCCUCGGCGGCUCUUUCAAUAUAAUCGCAGAAAUGUUAUUCCACUCCUUCUAACCAGUUUCAGGAUAAUGUUUUUUUAACAAUCCUUGUAUUUUUCAUCACUGUGAACAUCAACGUUGCACAACCUUUUUACUGCGUUAGUCACUAUUUAUUCUACUGUCAAUAACGUUACACAGUUUAAAAAUGUGUAGUAAUGUCAAAUUAAUUUAUAUCUUGCUACAUACAUCCUUCAGCAAAUAUUUUAAAUUAACGUUACAACAACAGAAUCUUCCUUUCUAUACACUUGAUUAAGUGUACGUUUCAAAAUUGUAAAAUAAAUUAU